rnacentral:rRNA from 1 species
AAUGCGGCAUGCUUACCAUGCAGUCGAACGGUGAAAGAGAGCUUGCUCUCUGGAUCAGUGGCGAACGGGUGAGUAACACGUGAGCAAUCUGCCCCUGACUCUGGGAUAAGCGCUGGAAACGGCGUCUAAUACCGGAUACGAGCUGCGAAGGCAUCUUCAGCAGCUGGAAAGAACUUCGGUCAGGGAUGAGCUCGCGGCCUAUCAGCUAGUUGGUGAGGUAAUGGCUCACCAAGGCGUCGACGGGUAGCCGGCCUGAGAGGGUGACCGGCCACACUGGGACUGAGACACGGCCCAGACUCCUACGGGAGGCAGCAGUGGGGAAUAUUGCACAAUGGGCGCAAGCCUGAUGCAGCAACGCCGCGUGAGGGACGACGGCCUUCGGGUUGUAAACCUCUUUUAGCAGGGAAGAAGCGAAAGUGACGGUACCUGCAGAAAAAGCACCGGCUAACUACGUGCCAGCAGCCGCGGUAAUACGUAGGGUGCAAGCGUUAUCCGGAAUUAUUGGGCGUAAAGAGCUCGUAGGCGGUUUGUCGCGUCUGCUGUGAAAUCUGGGGGCUCAACCCCCAGCCUGCAGUGGGUACGGGCAGACUAGAGUGCGGUAGGGGAGAUUGGAAUUCCUGGUGUAGCGGUGGAAUGCGCAGAUAUCAGGAGGAACACCGAUGGCGAAGGCAGAUCUCUGGGCCGUAACUGACGCUGAGGAGCGAAAGGGUGGGGAGCAAACAGGCUUAGAUACCCUGGUAGUCCACCCCGUAAACGUUGGGAACUAGUUGUGGGGUCCAUUCCACGGAUUCCGUGACGCAGCUAACGCAUUAAGUUCCCCGCCUGGGGAGUACGGCCGCAAGGCUAAACUAGAGAAUAUAUAUAUAC